rnacentral:siRNA from 1 species
GAUAUGUUUGCUUGAUCUCUUA